UGUGUAGGUGUCCUGCUAAGUCGGGUGUGAAAUCCUUCAGCUUAACUGGAGAAUUGCGCUCGAAACUAACAGGAUUGAGUGUAUGAGAGGAGAGGGGAAUUCUUGGUGUAAGAGUGAAAUCUGUAGAUAUCAAGAAGAACACCUGCGGCGAAGGCGCCUCUCUGGCAUACAACUGACACUGAAACACGAAAGCGUGGGUAGCAAACAGGAUUAGAUACCCUGGUAGUCC
rnacentral:rRNA from 1 species